UGCGGCUGCUCACGAUACCACAAAAUCUAAAACGCGCGCACAAUGUGAUGUUACUUGACACGCACGAAGUACUUCGAUAUGCCAGUCUACGCAAGAUAAUUCUAUCAUAUAUCGUCAGCUGAUCUUUAAUGAGGGCAUCGUGGAUGUACUACAAUAAUGUAGUAGUUAUAGAGUAGCUAAAAAGUAGAAAGAUGUUGUCUAUACACGAAUAUAGAGGAAUAUAUAAACAAAUGUCGCGACAGUGCAUGGCGAUUUAUAAAAGAGAAAUAGAUUUCAAUAUACGUUUAUUGUGCGAAUACAACUGUGAGCUUACUUCUUAAGCGCUAUGAAGCAAUAAUUAUUUUAUAGUGUAUAGUCUUGGCCAAAAAUGUGGUCAUCCUCAAAGAGUCAUGAAAUCUAAAAGAUGCACUGUGAUGUUGCUUGAUACGUGAAAAUACUUCGAUAAUGCGCCAAAAUAUUUGCCCAAUAUUGAUAUAUCAGUCUGCGCAGCAUUUAGUGAUCCUCUUUUCAAAUAUCGUUACCCGACUCUUAACUAACGAAGCAGUCGCACGCAGACCAUGCACUUGUUGCGCCGUUACCAACAUUUGUAUUAUAUGUGAGUAAUUGAUUUUACCAAUGUACGUCAUCGAACUCACAUUGACAGCCUAAAGCAAAUACAUCCAACAAAAUACGAGAAUGGAGAUAAGUAUUACACAUGUUUUUUUUUAUAAAAAUGUUAUAAUUCUAUCAUUCAGAGCUAGUUAUAAAUAGUUACAUAAAUUAUGUGUUAUAAUUAAUUGCAAAUUUUGGCUCUUGUUGAUAAGAAAACUUUUAUUUUUCUAAGGAAACAAAAAAAUAUAUCUUAUAUAACUAAUAUUAUUUAUAUUCCAAUUUAUUUAAUAGUU